AUUUUGAGAUGGCCAUUGCCUACUGGAAUCUUAUUUUUACUGGUCGCUUCAAAUUUUUGGUUUUGGUCCCUCUCUCUCUCUCUCCCCCUCCCUCCCCCUUCUCUCAGUCUCAUUAUAAAAGAGCUGGCAAUACCCAAAGACACUUGGAACCUUCUGCUAGAGUUUUCUAACAGGAUUGAUGACACCAUGAGCAAUUAUGAUGAAGAUGGCCGUUUGGUUUUUGUUCAAGUUUUUUAACUGAGAGUGUUAGGAAUGAACAUCUUAUCAAUAGAGGAUAAAUCCAUUGAGUUUAUAAACAGUUUAAAUGAUGAUUUACUUAAGAAGGAGGCAACCACUGACUCAAGGAGUGAGACCUUCUCUUCAAUAAUGAAGUUUAAUUUGGUGAGACUAACAAUAAUCCACUACCAAAGAGUACCCCUCCAGUAUCAAGGACUGAUCUAACUGUUCAAGAGGGUAAGCUCCUCUCACAACUUUAAAUACUUCAUUAAAUAUUCCUACAUAAAUGUUCAGCUAAUGGUACAGGAUGUGGUGUUUGUCAUUCAAGGGAUCUGUUGUUCAGGUUUAGUGAAGAUGUGGUUACAUGUCCUAACUGCUCCUCACACUUUCACUGGUUAUAGCAAGUUCCUGUUAAAGGUUCAAGUACAUUAGGUAUGUGUCAAUAUAAUUAUAUUGUUCUCUGUUCUAGUGUGGGCAGCAAUGUAGUGCCACCUCCACGUGACACUGCCUGGGAUCACUAGUGGCUACUACUGCUAGUGAUGCUAAGAGCACUACAUACAAGAAGAAUAGAUACUAACAGUACAAUGGAAUGUAAAUGACACUAAGAGGAUAAGUACAAUUCUCUGCUAUUGAAGACUACAUUGAGAAGUUAAUUGUUUGCUGUUUGAAGCUGUACAUUAACUGAAGACUAUAAAGAAUUACAUAACAUUAUUGUUUAUAAUUUUAGCACUUUUGUUUAAUACACAAAGUUGUCUUUUUAUCAUUGAUUAUUAUGAA